CGUCCCAAAAUUCUUGUCUUAGAUUUGUCUAGAUACGGAUGUAUCAAGUCACAUUUUAGUAUUAGAUACAUCUGUAUCUAGACAAAUCUAAGACAAGAAAUUUGGGAUAGAGGGAGUAGUUG
rnacentral:pre_miRNA from 1 species